rnacentral:rRNA from 1 species
GAUGAACGCUGGCGGCGUGCCUAAUACAUGCAAGUCGAGCGGAGCUGCGGACGGGUGAGUAAUGCCUAGGAAUCUGCCUGAUAGUGGGGGAUAACGUCCGGAAAAGGGCGCUAAUACAGCAUACUAUCAGAUGAGCCUGGGUGGGAUUAGCUAGUGGGUGGGGUAAAGGCUUACCAAGGCGACGAUCCGUAACUGGUCUGAGAGGAUGAUAAGUCACACUGGAACUGAGACACGGUCCAGAAUCCUACGGGAGGCAGCAGUGGGGAAUAUUGGACAAUGGGCGAAAGCCUGAUCCAGCCAUGCCGCGUGUGUGAAGAAGGUCUUCGGAUUGUAAAGCACUUUAAGUUGGGAGGCGUUACCAACAGAAUAAGCACCGGCUAACUUCGUGCCAGCCGCCGCGGUAAUUC